rnacentral:tRNA from 5 species
GGGGGCGUAGCUCAGCACGGUAGAGCGGCGGGCUCCAGACCCGAUGGUCGGGGGUUCAAGUCCCCUCGCCCCCA